rnacentral:rRNA from 1 species
CCUACGGGUGGCAGCAGUGAGGAAUAUUGGUCAAUGGGCGAGAGCCUGAACCAGCCAAGUCGCGUGAGGGAGUACUGCCCUAUGGGUUGUAAACCUCUUUUGUCGGGGAGCAAAAGCCGGACGUGUCCGGCUGUGAGAGUACCCGAAGAAAAAGCAGCGGCCAACCCCGUGCCAGCAGCCGCGGUAAUACGGGGGAUGCGAGCGUUAGCCGGAUGUAUUGGGUUUUAAGGGGGCGGGUGCUGUGAGGUAAGUCAGCGGUGAAAUGCCCCCGCUCAAAGGGGUGAAGUGCCAUUGAUACUGCCUUGCUGGAAUGCGGAUGCCGUGGGAGGAAUGUGUGGUGUAGCGGUGAAAUGCAUAGAUAUCACACAGAACACCGAUUGCGAAGGCAUCUCACGAAUCCGCGAUUGACGCUGAUGCACGAAAGCGUGGGUAUCAAACAGGAUUAGAUACCCUUGUAGUC